UGCGCACGUGGCUGCCCCCUACGCCGGCGCCCGCCAAGCGAGUGGAGAUGGACAGAACCGUGAUGCCGUGUGGAACCGUCGUCACCACCGUCACUGCAGUGAGGAGCCGCCCGGGACGCCCGCUUCACACAGAAUCAAUGAGAACUCCGCCCAGGAGCAAGGAGAGGCGCGUGUCUGAACAGCCCUCGGUGCUGGGGGCUAAAGUCAGCAAAGCCUUAUCUUACAGAGCACAGCCUGUAUCAGACACAGAUUUCUGAAGAAUUUUAUCGAAUCACAAGGAAGGACCUGCUGGUAACUUUCCCUGCAUCCCUCGACAAAUAUGUGCUUCGCCUAUUAAGACUCUACCGGGCAAG